rnacentral:lncRNA from 1 species
GGUUAUUUGUCUCGGUGGUUGAGUGCUUUAAGUACAGAACCAUAAGGAUACCAGAAAAUAGUAAGGUUCUGCUCUGGCUCUGGUUUGGAGUUUGACUAAUUUUACAGCUGGGCUCCAAGGAGACUGUAUCUGUGUGCUGCUGUCUGGAAGGAUUUUGAAGUUGCACAACACUCAGGAAGUACAUGUUGUACUUUAUCUCAAAUAUUGCAAACAACCUACGAAUGUGACCAGUCCCUGAGACAGGAGUGCAAACCCAGCUUGCUCUCUGCAUGUGCUCUGUUUGGAUGCUGUAGCUGCGAGUGCUCUCUGGAGGACACCAGCUUGGAACAAGGCUGUUUGGAUCUGGGAGGAUCCACCAUCCUCAGGUGGGCUGCUGGCCAUCUUAGCAGAGCAUUGCAUGGUAUGGCCAUCUCUUCUGGCCAACUGAUGCAUGAGUCCUACAGAUGUAGAUGUUACCAUUUGAUGCCCACUCACAUGGUUUUCCUAUGUUACAGGGUUUCUCAGCUCUGCCAACUCAUAGCGUGGCUCUGCCUGGGAGUUCAGGCAAGGAAAUAGGGGCAGAAGAAGCUGGGGGAGGGCAGAACACCUCUCUGAGCCUGUCUGCUUUCACACCUCUCCUCUCACACACUUCUAUUUUUCAAAAAUCUUCCUCCUGAAGUAAGAGUUGUUAGUCACGAUACAAAUCACAAAAAUAGUGGCAGCCCUGCUUAGUGCCACUCCAUCCAGUGGACUAUUGCCCAACUUAGAGAACAAGAGAGAUGAAUUUGUUCUAUCCCUAUUUUUUGCACAGAGGCAGUGGGGCUAAACUCCCAAGUACAAAUUGUAUCUCUUCUCCAGCCUGAGAUGAACAGAAACAUGGGUGCUGCUGUAAAACAAUAUGAGUUGACUCACAUUUUGGAGAAAAAGCACUGCUCUUCACUGCAUCUGCAUUUAACUGCGCUGCAGGGCGAGAUGGCUCUGCUCUUGCCUCUCUAUGGAGACUGUGGGAGCUCCUGAGAAAUGCACUGCAGCUCUGUGGGUCCAGCCUCGGGUUAAGUGUUCUAAAACAGGGGAGGCACAAAGCAAAUGCUCCCCUCAAUUCCAUGUGCCAACAGGAGCCAUUAAUUCAGCAGCGGGAGGAAAACUGCGCUUGGGCACUGCUCCCACUUCUGCUCACAGAAGAGAUUAGCAGGGGAGUUAAUUAAUGGGCAUGGCACUUUUCUUUCCUUAUUUAUUUCUCUUUUUAUUUUUAUUGUUUUUAAGCUCAGCACGAGCCAGCUGGGCAUUGCCCUAUGUGGCAUUCAAGCUGCACAUCCCUCCUUGGGCACACAGAGAGCUGUGCUGAGCCCUGGUUAGCCAUGGCUAGCGCAGGUUUGGACACACAUCACACUGUGAUGUUUUCCUUCCUGAAAUGGAUGUGGCCAGUAAUAUUGGUGUAAGACAAGAGGCAUUAGGAAGGAGGAGGAAAAGGUCA